UUCAGCGCCGACAGCAACGUCUCGGGAGAGGCUCUGUUCGGUGGAGCCAACGAGCAGUACUACCAAGGUCAGCUGAGCUUCGUGGACGCUGAACUCAACACUUUCCAGUUCCGCAUCUCAAGGUACAGCUACGCUGGCGUGAACCGAAUUUUCGCGUCAAGAGAUUCACAGUCAACGGCAGUGCUGGCUCCAGCGGAGAAAUUUAUUCUUGGUCCAUAUCGUGAAAUUUAUAGCCUCAACGAGCUACUCGGCGGGCGCUUCACUAAUGAAGGGUACGAGUUCUAUUGUGGAUUCAGGCCCGCCAACGUCAUUUUCACCAUUGCUACCAAGAGGUUUGUCCUUACGGCGGAAGACUACAUUUAUAAGGUCGACACACCUUCUGGAACUAAGUAAUAUAGCGCUUUCAAGACGGCCUACAGGGGAGACGACGCUGCCGCAUGGCAUUUGGGCAUUCCUUUCCUGCGGCGAACCUACACUGUGCUCGAAGCUCCCUCAAAUUCGAGGGGCCACGGGCGCGUGGGCUUCGCUCCUAUACGCUCGCCUUGACAGCGUCGUUAAGCACAGCGGACAGCGCAAUUUUCGGGUUGUGAUUUCACGGCCUAGUGCAUUUCAAUUCUUGAA